rnacentral:piRNA from 1 species
UGAUAUUGCUCGGUAGACCGGCGGUCCG